rnacentral:lncRNA from 1 species
AGGAAGUGAGAUCUGAUUUUUUAAUCAAUCAAACAAUUCAUUAAAAUCCUAAGAGACUAUCUCUUUAUAUAGAUCUUUUUUUGAUUCCAAAUUAAAAACUAAUCAACCUAAAAAGGUUAGUCCUUAUCUCAUAAGAAUUUCUACCUUUUCAAUCUGAUUAUUUUUUAUUAAAAUCAGACUUAAUUGAUAGGAUUUUCAUCUUUUUUGACAAGCAUAUGGGGCGCUCUAGUCAAAAUAGGCAGACUGAGUGGGUGCCUCUCAUUAAGAGAGGCAAGUAGUUGGGGCAUCAACCCUUGGUGCCCCUUCUAGGGUUUUUCAUUAAGAAAGGGGGGCAUGGCCCCUCUCUUUCUCCUUCCACACCAAGGCA